rnacentral:rRNA from 1 species
CCUAGGGAGGCUGCAGUGGGGAAUAUUGGACAAUGGGCGAAAGCCUGAUCCAGCCAUGCCGCGUGUGUGAAGAAGGCCUUCGGGUUGUAAAGCACUUUCAGUGGGGAAGAAAGCCUUGGGGCUAAUACCCUCGAGGAAGGACAUCACCCACAGAAGAAGCACCGGCUAACUCCGUGCCAGCAGCCGCGGUAAUACGGAGGGUGCGAGCGUUAAUCGGAAUUACUGGGCGUAAAGCGCGCGUAGGCGGUCUGAUAAGCCGGUUGUGAAAGCCCCGGGCUCAACCUGGGAACGGCAUCCGGAACGGUCAGGCUAGAGUGCAGGAGAGGAAGGUAGAAUUCCCGGUGUAGCGGUGAAAUGCGUAGAGAUCGGGAGGAAUACCAGUGGCGAAGGCGGCCUUCUGGACUGACACUGACGCUGAGGUGCGAAAGCGUGGGUAGCAAACAGGAUUAGAUACCCCAGUAGUC